GGUAUCAUACAUCAUUGUUGUAAUCUCUGAAGGCCAACUUCUUAUGUAUAACAUUACAAUAACAAGGAAUGGAAAGAAAAGAGGGAAGUGUGUAAUAACUGAAUUACAUAUACAGCCAUUUUCUUUAAACCCGGAAAUGAAGUUAUAUCAUUUGGACCUAAUCGGCGCUGGGCAAGGCAUGCAGAUGUUUCUGAUGAGCCCGAGCAGUGAAACCAGCAUACCAAGCGACUCUCAUGAGCUGCAUGCCAAGAAUGAGAACCCACCAACAGACUAGCCCCCUAAUGGUAUGCAGCAUCCAUGAUGGUGCAUUGAGUUCUGCACUGAGCU
rnacentral:misc_RNA from 1 species